rnacentral:lncRNA from 1 species
UAGUGCAAAGAGCUUAUUUAGACUGAUAUGUGGGGGCGUGUUAGAAUGUAGGCUUUUCUAAAACCCAACCCGGGCAGGGUUGUGUGCCUGAUGGGCUGCGUGUAUUGCUGCAGGGUCGUCUGGGUCGUACACCCUCUCUCACGCAGGAGACGCCUACCUCGGGCUGCGCUCACUUGACGGGGAUGGCGUCAGCGUCACUCCCGCUGUGCAGCAGCAGCAGCAGCAGGUAGGCACUGAGGACGGCGCCUCAAUGCCCUUCCUCUUCCAUACCUGCUCACAGUGUAGUGCUCUCUUCCCCUUUCCCCAAAGCUACAGCCCCAACCCAUGACAUCCACCUUAGCGGAUACUUAGAAGUGUAGAGCUCUACCCUGGAAACGAACUCCACCAUCUUCCCUGUGGCAUUGCUUCAUUUCAUUUCUUCUGUCAUGUCCUUGGCCAUUCCUUUGUCUCCUUCCUGUUAGAUGAACGCUUUUCAUCAAGGGCUCAACAGUAAGGAUGUACUACUGAUGUUUUGGGUGGAUAUCCUGCACCAUGUUACACACCCGACGGCAGGCUAUGAAGAUCUGUCAGGAAGUCCUCUUUACACCCCACACCAUCUAAACGUGAGUACAGCACUGACACACACACACACACACACACACAUUCUCAAGCAACAGACUGCUUGUUAAAAGAAAAAUUAAACCAUUUGCUAUUUGAGUAAAAGUUAGAACCUGGAAUGAUUUUCAGUUAAAUCUCACAAACCGCAUUAAUCUGAUGAGAAUCUCUGUUGCUCUUUGUGUUGACGUAGACCUAAAGAUCACUUGAAGGUCUGAUGUCUGCAAUUUGUGGCUUGUAUGUUUCCUGUUUCAACACGUUUUAUGUUCUGGUGUGAAUACUCUCUAGAUGCUUAUCAGUCAGCUGCAGCUAAAUACUGUUACUGUGUGGACACACUAUUUGAACAAACCCCUAACACUAAGAAUUAAAUCAAUUUUUACAGAAAUUAUUUUUUGCAAUUUGUUUCUUAAAUAAUUUUAGGGAUGCACCGAUAACACUUUUUCCAGUACUCGCCCGAUACCGAUACUUUUAUUUUUGGUACUUGCCGAUACAGAGUACCGAUACCAAUAUUUUCAUUGCAUUUGUAAAUUUUUUUUAAAUAUUGGGUACAGAAACCAAAAGAGUAUGUGUAAUGUUAGUUGGUUAACUUCAUUUAUCAAAUAUAUUCAGACAGCUGUUAGUAUGACAGUAUUUACAAAACUAUCAAUACUUAGUCGGGC